UGCAUUUUCUCAUCCUCCUCAAGAUUCUUAGCAAUAAAAUGGAGGCUUUUGCGGAUGUAGAACUUUUUUCUUAUAUGCACGCAUCGUAGUCAAGCCAUCCAAUUGACCAUUAGCAACAGUGAUAACAGCAAUUGUCAUGCAACUGUAAUCUUGUAUGCCUCUUUUCAGGGAUGAUCCGGUUCUUCCAUAGCGAAGAUGCCUUGUGCCUCAUUGCUUGAUCUUCGACACUAACCAAGUUACGACAUAGUCAACAAAAGAAAAGGACAAAAAAAUAUAGCGGGCUCUUUCUUAAUUCUUCCGCUAUAUAUGUUUAUGCGAGGAGAUCUUGCAGGUGACAUUUGCUUGAGACAACCUGCUAGUA
rnacentral:lncRNA from 1 species